GAUGAACGCUGGCGGCGUGCCUAAUACAUGCAAGUCGAGCGAACGGACGAGAAGCUUGCUUUUCUGAUGUUAGCGGCGGACGGGUGAGUAACACGUGGAUAACCUACCUAUAAGACUGGGAUAACUUCGGGAAACCGGAGCUAAUACCGGAUAAUAUUUUGAACCGCAUGGUUCAAAAGUGAAAGACGGUCUUGCUGUCACUUAUAGCUGGAUCCGCGCUGCAUUAGCUGGUUGGUAAGGUAACGGCUUACCAAGGCAACGAUGCAUAGCCGACCUGAGAGGCUGAUCGGCCACACUGGAACUGAGACACGGUCCAGACGCCUACGGGAGGCAGCAGUAGGGAAUCUGCCGCAAUGGGCGAAAGCCUGACGGAGCAACGCCGCGUGAGUGAUGAAGGUCUUCGGAUCGUAAAACUCUGUUAUUAGGGAAGAACAUAUGUGUAAGUAACUGUGCACAUCUUGACGGUACCUAAUCAGAAAGCCACGGCUAACUACGUG
rnacentral:rRNA from 1 species